ACGCUGGCGGCGUGCUUAAUACAUGCAAGUCGAACGGAAGUAGCAAUACUUUAGUGGCGCACGGGUGAGGAACACGUAGAUGAUCUGCCCUUGAGAUCGAGAUAACCCCGGGAAACUGGGGCUAAUACCGGAUAAUGCAUUAUUAUUGGAUUAAUAAUGUUAAAGCGGCGCAAGUCGCACUUGAGGAUGAGUCUGCGACCUAUCAGCUAGUUGGCGGUGUAAUGGACCACCAAGGCAAAGACGGGUAGCUGAUCUGAGAGGAUGAUCAGCCACACUGGGACUGAGACACGGCCCAGACUCCUACGGGAGGCAGCAGUAGGGAAUAUUGCGCAAUGGGGGAAACCCUGACGCAGCGACGCCGCGUGAGUGAUGAAGGCCUUUCUGGUUGUAAAGCUCUGUAAGGAGGGAAGAAUGUCAGGCAGUAACGUGUCUGAGUGACGGUACCUCCGGAGUAAGGACCGGCUAAAUACGUG
rnacentral:rRNA from 1 species